rnacentral:rRNA from 1 species
UCGAGCGGAGACGAUCCUAGCUUGCUAGGAGGCGUCGAGCGGCGGACGGGUGAGUAAUGCAUAGGAAUCUGCCCGGUAGUGGGGGAUAACCUGGGGAAACCCAGGCUAAUACCGCAUACGCCCUACGGGGGAAAGCAGGGGAUCUUCGGACCUUGCGCUAUCGGAUGAGCCUAUGUCGGAUUAGCUAGUUGGUGAGGUAACGGCUCACCAAGGCUGCGAUCCGUAGCUGGUCUGAGAGGAUGAUCAGCCACAUCGGGACUGAGACACGGCCCGAACUCCUACGGGAGGCAGCAGUGGGGAAUAUUGGACAAUGGGCGAAAGCCUGAUCCAGCCAUGCCGCGUGUGUGAAGAAGGCCUUCGGGUUGUAAAGCACUUUCAGUGAGGAAGAAAGCCUUGAGGUUAAUACCCUCGAGGGAGGACAUCACUCACAGAAGAAGCACCGGCUAACUCCGUGCCAGCAGCCGCGGUAAUACGGAGGGUGCGAGCGUUAAUCGGAAUUACUGGGCGUAAAGCGCGCGUAGGCGGCUUGAUAAGCCGGUUGUGAAAGCCCCGGGCUCAACCUGGGAACGGCAUCCGGAACUGUCAGGCUAGAGUGCAGGAGAGGAAGGUAGAAUUCCCGGUGUAGCGGUGAAAUGCGUAGAGAUCGGGAGGAAUACCAGUGGCGAAGGCGGCCUUCUGGACUGACACUGACGCUGAGGUGCGAAAGCGUGGGUAGCAAACAGGAUUAGAUACCCUGGUAGUCCACGCCGUAAACGAUGUCGACUAGCCGUUGGGCUCCUUGAGAGCUUUGUGGCGCAGUUAACGCGAUAAGUCGACCGCCUGGGGAGUACGGCCGCAAGGUUAAAACUCAAAUGAAUUGACGGGGGCCCGCACAAGCGGUGGAGCAUGUGGUUUAAUUCGAUGCAACGCGAAGAACCUUACCUACCCUUGACAUCGAGAGAACUUUCCAGAGAUGGAUUGGUGCCUUCGGGAACUCUCAGACAGGUGCUGCAUGGCUGUCGUCAGCUCGUGUUGUGAAAUGUUGGGUUAAGUCCCGUAACGAGCGCAACCCUUGUCCCUAUUUGCCAGCGAUUCGGUCGGGAACUCUAGGGAAACUGC